GUGCCAGCAGCCGCGGUAAUACGUAGGGGGCAAGCGUUGCUCGGAAUCACUGGGCUUAAAGGGCGCGUAGGCGGUUGUGUAAGUCCAGGGUUGAAGGCCCCGGCUCAACCGGGGAAAGGCCUUGGAGACUGCAUGACUUGAGUGAGCGAGGGGAGGGCGGAAUUCCCGGUGGAGCGGUGAAAUGCGUAGAUAUCGGGAGGAACACCGGAGGCGAAGGCGGUCUUCUGGGCCACUCCUGACACUGAGGCACGAAAGCUAGGGGAGCGAACGGGAUUAGAUACCCCGGUAGUCCUAGCCGUAAACGAUGGGCACUAGAUGUUCCCACAUUUUGUGGGAGUGUCGAAGCUAACGCGUUAAGUGCCCCGCCUGGGGAGUACGGCCGCAAGGUUGAAACUCAAAUGAAUUGACGGGG
rnacentral:rRNA from 1 species